UCCAAUAGCGUAUAUUAAAGUUGUUGCAGUUAAAAAGCUCGUAGUUGGAUCUCGGGUCCAGGCUCGCGGUCCGCCUCGCGGCGGUUACUGCCCGUCCUGACCUACCUCCCGGUGUUCCCUUGGUGCUCUUGACUGAGUGUCUCGGGUGGCCGGAACGUUUACUUUGAAAAAAUUAGAGUGUUCAAAGCAGGCAGCUCGCCUGAAUAAUGGUGCAUGGAAUAAUGGAAUAGGACCUCGGUUCUAUUUUGUUGGCCUUCGGAACUUGAGGUAAUGAUUAAGAGGGACGGACGGGGGCAUCCGUAUUACGGUGUUAGAGGUGAAAUUCUUGGAUCGCCGYAAGACGAACAACUGCGAAAGCAUUUGCCAAGAAUGUUUUCAUUAAUCAAGAACGAAAGUCAGAGGUUCGAAGACGAUCAGAUACCGUCGUAGUUCUGACCAUAAACGAUGCCAACUAGCAAUCGGCCGGAGUUGCUUCAAUGACUCGGCCAGCAGCUUCCGGGAAACCAAAGUUUUUGGGUUCCGGGGGAAGUAUGGUUGCAAAGCUGAAACUUAAAGGAAUUGACGGAAG
rnacentral:rRNA from 1 species